rnacentral:tRNA from 1 species
GGGAUUGUGACUCAGGGUAGAGCACUUGCCUAGCAAGUAUGAGGCACUGGGUUCAAUUCUCAGCACCA